rnacentral:lncRNA from 1 species
UUAUUUUUUUGAUGAGGUCUUUCCAGAUGAGAUCUAUUUUGCAAGACUGGUAUGAAGUUUAAAUGAGAGGGUAGUAUGUAUAAGACACAGCAUCAGCAUCAUGGUAUCUGACAGUCACUGAUGUUUGUACUGUGUCAAUUACCGUUCCCAAUGUGGAUCCAGGAUAGGAUUCACUACAGAAGAAUUUCGUGUAAGUUUGGAAGGAGCAGUGGAGAAUUAAGAAGAAAGGAAGAAGGAAAGAGGACCACAUUGCAGAGUUUUUUGCAGGGAAGGGACAGUCGGAAAAGUCUGCAUACAUUAUGUAAUUACACACCUGAAGAUAGUAUGUCAAGGGUUAGAUGGCUGAAGAGAUGAGGAAAGAUUGGAAACACGGGAAGGAGAAGGAAGCUGCUCUGAAGGCUUGCUGUAUCAUUCUGAGUGGUAACUCAGCAGC